UAUCUGCAGCCGUCACAUGAUAGCAAAACGGUGGUAAGCAGUGCACGAGUCUGCGUCGAAGACAGCCAGAAUCCAUGCAUCGGGAGGUUCUCUCGGUUGGAGAAGGAACAAAGGGAGGACAUGCUCGGGCCAGGAGAUGCAGUUCCUCGCUCUCGCCACUAGAGGGAAUUCGUGAAGCUCCUCUCUGAAUGAGAAACCUGCCCCCCGCCCAAAAGGCAAAGCUAAGACGAUAACCCAGAGUUCACCCAGGCACAAGGUUCCUCAUAAAUAGACUCAGCCUCUCUGAAUCUCCUUCCUCAUCUGUCAAAUGGCGAUGGCAAUUAAACCCAUCUCACAGGGCUGUGAAGAUUCAUCAAGACAACAGUGGUUGUAAAACCCUUACCACACACAAAGCCUCCUUAGGGAAAACCAGGACUCCCUGACCAGCAAAGUUUGCCAGCUGACCUGAUGCUUAAGCUUGGAGCGAGAGGCAGGAUCCAUCCUCCAGCUUCCUCAGGAGGAGAAAGAUCAAAGAAACUCCACUCACCCUUCAAGACCUUGCUAAAGCAUCACUUCCUCCAGGAAGCCCUCCCUGCUCUCCCAGCCGAGUCAGCAGAAUCCACAGAACAUGCAGGUAUCUGGAAUUAUAACCAAUCAAUAGGCAGAGGGUGAGAAGACACUCUGAGUACACAUGGAGCCAGCAGGGCUUGGAAGAGAGAGAUUCCCAGGCCUCCCGUUCAUCCUAACCAUCGGAUGUCCCCAGCACUACUCUGUGACAAAGGUGAGCGGUCAGUGCAGUGGGAGAAGCAAGUGGGUCCUUCAUCACCUGGACCUCUGUUCACAGCCCGUUCCUGACGUCACAGAGCCCCUCCAUCCCCUAGGAAAGAGGAUUUUAUUUCUGGAAGUCUAAUUUUCACAGCUCACAUUUCCCACCAGAAAAACAUUUUUAGCAAAGUUGGUCCCUUGCUAGAGCUCUUCUUUUUGUAAUAGCAGAUUAUGGAGAUAGAAUUCACACACUAUAAAAUUCAUCUUUCUCAAGUGUAUAACGCAGCAGUUUGUGGCAUAGUAGCUGGGCUGUACAGCCAUUGCCACUACCUCACUGGAGCUUUGAGGAAGGAAAAAAGGUCUUCUGGGCAGUGACAGCAGUGCUUCCUGAAGGGAAAGAGGGAAGCAGGCCAGCUCCCUCCACGGGCAUCAAUCAGCUCCGUAGACUUCGAUGCACAACAGCAGUCUUCAUCUGGGGCUCAGAAAGGUGGAGGGACUCACCCAAGGUCACACAGCUGCUCAGCACAGGGAUGGUGCUCAGAAGCCAGGCCCUCUCCUUCGCGAAGCUUCUUACCCUGUCCCUGCAUGGACACUAGUGACAAUUGCCCUGCUCCUGCUGGCAGGACCACAUCUGUCUCACCCACCACCAGCUUCCUGGUACCCAACUUGAUGCCUGGCACUGGGUGGGAUCAGUGAACAUAGAAAGUGGCACCUCAUUAUUGCUUUUCUGUGCACUUUUUUAAAAAGUUGUGAUUGUUAUUACAUAAGAAAUACUGGUUCAUUAUAGAAACACUAGAAAAUAUGUAUUAACAGAAGUUGGGGGUGGAGAGAGAAAUGAAUACACAGGUCUGCACAAAAACCUGUUCUUUAGCAGCUUUAUACAGCCAUCAGAAAUUGGGACGACCUGACGGACGACUACUUGGCAAUGCAGACCUACAGACCGAGCUCCGGGCUCAGGCAUCACGCAGCUGGCUCCCCAGAGCGUUAGGUUAUAUAGGAGUUGCCUUUGUAAGUCAGUCUGGAAAAGGCAAAACUGUCGCAACAGAAAACAAAUCAAUGGUUGACUGGGGCCAGGGGACCCUUCUCGGGUGAUGGUGUCUGGGUCUUAACCAUGGUGGUGGUGACAAGCUUGUAUACGUCAGUCAGUCACACUUCAAAAGGGGAGAAACCGGGCUUCCCUGGUGGCGCAGUGGUUGAGAGUCCGCCUGCUGAGGCAGGGGACACGGGUUCGUGCCCCGGCCCGGGAGGAUCCCACG